AACGCGUGAGGAACCUGCCUCAAAGAGGGGGACAACAGUUGGAAACGACUGCUAAUACCGCAUAAGCCCACAGCUCGGCAUCGAGCAGAGGGAAAAGGAGCAAUCCGCUUUGAGAUGGCCUCGCGUCCGAUUAGCUAGUUGGUGAGGUAACGGCCCACCAAGGCAACGAUCGGUAGCCGGACUGAGAGGUUGAACGGCCACAUUGGGACUGAGACACGGCCCAGACUCCUACGGGAGGCAGCAGUGGGGAAUAUUGCACAAUGGGGGAAACCCUGAUGCAGCGACGCCGCGUGGAGGAAGAAGGUCUUCGGAUUGUAAACUCCUGUUGUUGAGGAAGAUAAUGACGGUACUCAACAAGGAAGUGACGGCUAACUACGUGCCAGCAGCCGCGGUAAAACGUAGGUCACAAGCGUUGUCCGGAAUUACUGGGUGUAAAAGGAGCGCAGGCGGGAAGACAAGUUGGAAGUGAAAUCUAUGGGCUCAACCCAUAAACUGCUUUCAAAACUGUUUUUCUUGAGUAGUGCAGAGGUAGGCGGAAUUCCCGGUGUAGCGGUGGAAUGCGUAGAUAUCGGGAGGAACACCAGUGGCGAAGGCGGCCUACUGGGCACCAACUGACGCUGAGGCUCGAAAGUGUGGGUAGCAAACAGGAUUAGAUACCCUGGUAGUCCACACCGUAAACGAUGAUUACUAGGUGU
rnacentral:rRNA from 1 species